rnacentral:rRNA from 1 species
CCUACGGGUGGCCGCAGUGAGGAAUAUUGGUCAAUGGGCGCGAGCCUGAACCAGCCAAGUAGCGUGAAGGAUGACUGCCCUACGGGUUGUAAACUUCUUUUAUAAAGAAAUAAAGUGAGGCACGUGUGCCUUUUGUGUGUAUUUUAUGAAUAAGGAUCGGCUCACUCCGUGCCCGCAGCCGCGGUAAUACGGAGGAUCCGAGCGUUAUCCGGAUUUAUUGGGUUUAAAGGGAGCGUAGAUGGGUUGUUAAGUCAGUUGUGAAAGUUUGAGGCUCAACCGUAAAAUUGCAAUUGAAACUGGCAGCCUUGAGUACAGUUGAGGUAGGCGGAAUUCGUGGUGUAGCGGUGAAAUGCUUAGAUAUCACGAAGAACUCCGAUUGCGAAGGCAGCCUACUAAACUGCCACUGACAUUGAUGCUCGAAAGUGUGGGUAUCAAACAGGAUUAGAUACCCGUGUAGUC